rnacentral:rRNA from 1 species
AUCAGGUUGAUAGGCCAGGUGUGGAAGCGCGGUGACGUGUGGAGCUGACUGGUACUAAUAGGUCGAGGGCUUGACCUAAG